rnacentral:misc_RNA from 1 species
AUUGCAGGUGGUGGCUUUGCCUUGGCCGAGGCCAGCCGACAAAGUGGACUUAACAUAAUGAUCGCCAAGGCCAUGCAAGUCCUCAACGGAUUGCCGAGUAUGGUGUUGCAGUUGAUUACGCUUGUAAUGUCCAAUUUUUUCUCGUCUUUCAACGCCAAUGUUGUUGUGGCGAACAUUGUCCUACCAGUUCUAUGCGAAAUGGCCCUUGCCCUGGAAAUGCAUCCUUUAAUUUUAACUCUACCAGCUUGUUUGGCAAUUAGCAUGGUCUACUUUUUACCCGUGAGCACGCCCCCAAAUGCUAUUGUUACCCAAUAUGCACAUAUUAAGACAAAAUACUUUGCGUGCUGCGGUAUUUUGCCCACCUUUAUCGGGCUUUUCGUGUCAAUGCUGAACACGAAUACAUGGGGAAUGCUAAUUUUUCCAGAAGCGAGUAGCUUUCCAGAUUGGGCAAAGGAAAUUAAGAAUCGUACAAAAAUUUAAUGAUGGAAUAUAUAAAUAUACCCCGUACAUACCUCUUCAGUUAAAGGUCAUACCUUUUUAUUAUUUAGGUAUUCUAUAAAAAUUACGUAUUCGACCUUAAGAAGUACGCAAGAAUGUCAUGUAUGUUAUAUCUGUAAUGAGUAUCUGAUAACCAAGGCAAUCCCUCGGCUACAUUCGUGCCAUCGAUUUCAUUGAUUUGUUCGAACUUUAUUCUUGGCAUAGAGUCGGCCAUGAUAUAUCUGUUUGGUUUUUAAAGCGAGAAAUUCUUUACAAUCGUACUAGAAGAGAAACAAAAUGGGAGAUGCCGACGGAAAACUUGAAGGCGGCCAGGCCGUAAAGAGAUGUUGCGGCUUCCAUUGGAGGGGCAAGGCAACCGUCAUAAUUCCUCUCAUCACAUUGCCGUUACUGAUCUAUGGGAUCCUGGAGAAUAACUUGGCAUAUGUGUGCAUGUAUCUGAUGG